rnacentral:rRNA from 1 species
ACGAACCGUGCAAACGUUAUUCGGAAUCACUGGGCUUAAAGGGCGCGUAGGCGGGCAACCAAGUCCGGGGUGAAAGCCUCCAGCUUAACUGGAGAAGUGCCUCGGAUACUGGUCGUCUCGAGGAGGGUAGGGGCAUCUGGAACUAGCGGUGGAGCGGUGAAAUGCGUUGAUAUCGCUAGGAACUCCGGUGGCGAAGGCGAGGUGCUGGACCCUUUCUGACGCUGAGGCGCGAAAGCCAGGGGAGCGAACGGGA